CCCUUAGAUGUUCUGGGCCGCACGCGCGCUACACUGACGAAUGCAACGAGCUUAUAACCUUGGCCGAAAGGUCUGGGUAAUCUCCAAAUUUCGUCGUGAUGGGGAUUGAUUAUUGCAAUUAUUAAUCUUCAACGAGGAAUGCCUAGUAAGCGCAAGUCAUCAGCUUGCGUUGAUUACGUCCCUGCCCUUUGUACACACCGCCCGUCGCUCCUACCGAUUGAAUGGUCCGGUGAAGCGUUCGGACCGUGGCCUUUGGACGGUUCGCCGUCUGUUGGCUGCGGGAAGUUCGUUAAACCUUAUCAUUUAGAGGAAGGAGAAGUCGUAACA
rnacentral:rRNA from 1 species